rnacentral:rRNA from 1 species
CCUGCCCAGUGAAAAAUUUUAACGGCCGCGGUAUCCUAACCGUGCGAAGGUAGCGUAAUCACUUGUUCUUUAAAUCAGGACUAGUAUGAAUGGCACCACGAAGGUUAUACUGUCUCCCCUUUUUAAUCAGUGAAACUAAUCUCCCCGUGAAGAAGCGGGAAUAAAACUAUAAGACGAGAAGACCCUAUGGAGCUUUAGACUACAUAACAAUUGCUAUCUAUUUAUUUAUCCCCCGGGAACUCAAUUAUAUUAAUUCAUAUUGAUUACUAGUCUUAGGUUGGGGUGACCGCGGAGUAAAAUACAACCUCCAUGAUGAAAGAAACUUAAUUUCUUAACCCAGAGUUACAACUCUAAGUACCAAAAAUUUGACAUAAAUUGACCCAAUAAUUUGAUCAACGAACCAAGUUACCCUA